ensembl:lncRNA novel transcript
AGCUAUCAGCUUCCCAGUUUGCACAAUUCAUCAAGAAAUUAUGCGGGGUCACUGGCACAAAUGAUGAGGCAUCUCCUGGAAGCUUAACUUCUUAUCCAUCCCAUCUCUUGGACAGAUGAUGCCAGUUAAUUACUUUGAAUGCUCCUCCACCAAGCCAAGGCCAGACUCCUGCAAUCAUAGGAUGGCAACACCACCUCUAAAGCACAGAACUUCAGGCUUUGCUUCGGAAGUGGCACCAUGGUCUCUUCAUUUUCCCUUUCUUCAAGGUCAGAAAACUGAAGCUGUUAGGAGUUUUAGUGUUAAGUUCCUUCCGAGGAUGUUAAUUAGGCUUCAAACUGUUUUGUUCUGAGAAAUAAAAACUAAACUCCAGUCAUUCAAGCUAACAGUUGAGGUGUUCUAUGGCUUCAAAAUCAAGUAAGAUUUGUAAAUGAAUUGCUAGGUGCAACCAUUACUUAUUAUAUGCCACACAAACAGUGGAGAAAAUUAUGGACACCACCAUCC